ensembl:lincRNA Gm28590 predicted gene 28590
AAGCCAUGGAAAGCAAACCAGUAAGCAGCACCCCUCUAUGGCCUCUGCAUCAGCUCCUGCCUCCAGAUUCCUGCUCUGAUUGAGUCUCCCUCCUCACUGCUUUUAAUGAACUGUCUUUCUGCUAUAGGUCCUAUCUGGAACACCAUUCUACUGGAUGGAGGCUAUGGGUCUGUCUCACGUUAAGUCCCAGGCUGGAGUUGUGCUUACUUGGCCUUUGAUGGCAGAUGUGAGUUGCCCAAUAUGGAUGCGGGAACUGAACCCCGCUCCUCUGCAAUAGCAGCAACCUCUUUAACUAUAGAGUUACCUCUCCAGCCUUGAAGUUCCCUGGGUCUGUUCUGUAAGGUGAUGGCCAAUGCAGGAGUAACACAGAAGUUUUAACUGGAGCCUUUACACUAUUCUCAAGCACUGGAUGAAACCUGGAGUUCCCAAAGAAGUCAUAAUCUGAGGAGCAACGCUGUUGCUCCAGUGUAGAACGAGAGGGGUGCUGUCGGAAACUAGAGGUGCAUCAGAACCCAGGGAAGUUGGAGCAGCUGGAGGAAAGCUCUGGGCUCAAGGAUUCAAAAGAAGGGAGUGGCUAGGCAGAGGAAAUAAAGGUGUGCUAACUGCAGGGACAAAAAUGGAGAAGAUCCUGAGGAAAAGGAGGUCCAGCAACAGGCCCAAAGUGGGAUCCAGCUCAAGGGGAACUCCCAAGACCUGACACGAUUACUGAGACUAUGGAGUGCUUAUGAAAAAAGGGGCCUAUCAUGACUACUCUCUGAAAGAUCCAGCAAGCAGCUGAAAGAGUCAAAUGGAGAUAUUUAUACCCAGCUGAUGGACAGAAGCUGCUGACACCUGUGGUUGAAGAAGCUGAGGAGGGCUACCUUGUAGGAGGACCAGCAGUCUCAACUAACCUGGACCCCUGAGAUAUCCAGAUACUGGAUCUCCAACCAGGUAGCAUACACCAGGUGAUAUGAGGCUCCCAACACAUAUACAGCAGAGGACUGCCGGGUCUGGACAAAGUUAGAGAAAAUGCACCUAACCCUCAAGAGACUGGAGGCUCCAGGCAGUGGAGAGGUCUGGUGAGGUGGGGGUGGGGACAUUCUUGUGAAGACUGGAAGAGGAGGUAUGGAAUGUGGAACAGUCAGAGUGUGGACCGGGAGGGGGAUAAAAUCUGGACUGUAAAACAAAAAAAUAAAUUAGUUUUUUUUUUUUUUUAAAUACCUGGUAUUUUAGGAUCAAUGAUAGGUUAGGUGGUUUCAAACAAAGAAUAUAGGGCAAGGUCUUAAAAUGUAGAUUUGUCUCUAGGCGUUAAAUGACUUGAAGGUCAUAAGGGAUCAGAUGAGUGGAAGGAGCCCAGAGGAUGAGUGUUCUGCUUACGAGUAUACAUUUCCAUGUCUCAGGAAAAUUUGCAGCCAAGUCAUGAAGACAAGGCAAGUUGUGACAUUAGCUCAGGCCCUUCCUAGACAGAGGGGGAAAUGAAAUUAGAUUGCAUAGAGUCUUGAUGUUUGAAGGAAUGAAGUGGUUGUUAAUGCUGACUGCUUUCUGAAACAAUGCAUUAAUGAGAUUCCAUUUCAAACACUUUCCCCAAAUGCCUUUAGUUUAUUUUCUCAUUAAACAGAGGUCUUGGAGUGGC